rnacentral:rRNA from 1 species
UACGUAGGGUGCAAGCGUUGUCCGGAAUUAUUGGGCGUAAAGAGCUCGUAGGCGGUCUGUCGCGUCUGCUGUGAAAACUCGGGGCUUAACCCCGAGCCUGCAGUGGAUACGGGCAGACUAGAGGUAGGUAGGGGAGAAUGGAAUUCCCGGUGUAGCGGUGAAAUGCGCAGAUAUCGGGAGGAACACCAAUGGCGAAGGCAGCUCACUGGGACGGUACUGACGCUGAGACGCGAAAGCGUGGGGAGCAAACAGG